UACGUAGGGUGCAAGCGUUAAUCGGAAUUACUGGGCGUAAAGCGUGCGCAGGCGGUUGUGCAAGACCGAUGUGAAAUCCCCGGGCUUAACCUGGGAAUGGCAUUGGUGACUGCACGGCUAGAGUGUGUCAGGAGGGGGGGGUAGGAAAUUUCCCGCGACUGGUUGAUACAGGCUAGGUAAAGUGAAACUGGUCGAUGAAGGAAGAGUCGGGAGAUGGGACGGAAAUACCC
rnacentral:rRNA from 1 species